rnacentral:rRNA from 1 species
GACGAACGCUGGCGGCGUGCUUAACACAUGCAAGUCGAACGGAAAGGCCCUGCUUUUGUGGGGUGCUCGAGUGGCGAACGGGUGAGUAACACGUGUGUAACCUGCCCUUGACUUUGGGAUAACUUCAGGAAACUGGGGCUAAUCCCGGCUAGGAGCUCCUGCUGCAUGGUGGGGGUUGGAAAGUUUCGGCGGUUGGGGAUGGACUGGCGUCUUAUCAUCUUGUUGGUGGGGUAGUGGCUUACCAAGGCUUUGAUGGGUAGCCGGCCUGAGAGGGUUACCGGCCACAUUGGGCCUGAGAUACGGCCCAGACGCGUACGGGAGGCAGGAGUGGGGAAUAUUGCACAAUGGGCGGAGGCCGGAUGCAGCAACGCCGCGUGCGGUAUGACGGCCUUCGGGUUGUAAACCACUUUCGCCUGUGACGAAGCGUGAGUGACGGUAAUGGGUAAAGAAGCACCGGCUAACUACGUG